UCUCAGUUCUGCCCCACCAGCCUUGUCCUUUACUGUCAGCAGACUUAGUGGGACUGACUAGGAGGCUAGCCAGAAGCCCUCCUGUGCCACAAAUAAUUGGGCCCAAGCUAUGACUCCCUCACUACUGCUUGGAAGAUGUCAAGGGAAGCAAAAAGGGCGUGGCCCUCAAGAGAGGGCUGCAUUCUUUCAAAGCCAGAGGGAGGUGGUUUUCUUUGUGUUUCUUUGGAUCUAACGGUUGGAGUUCUCCUCCCCUGCUCCCACACAGACACCGUCCCACUCGAGGGAGAACCCAGCCUGGCAUAUGUCUCCACCAUUGUGCGAUGGGAGAUGAAGAAACUGAGGCACAGAGUAGGUAAGAGACAAGGGACUCUGGUUUCACAGUGAUUAAGGACUACAGUUGGCCUGGGACAUGUCAAGCAGACAAGGAAGAUUAUGGAAAGAAAACAAGUGGCCUUGACAAAGGCAGGUUGAAGUAAUGCAAAAGGGACAGGCCAAGGAGCUUCUGCUGUGACAUCCUGCUUUCCAGAAACCUCUUGGGAGGCCGAGUAGCCGAGAGUGACUCAGCGAUGGUCUUGCCCCAGCAGAACACAGACUGAGGAAAACAGGUGGGAGAGAGUCAGGGGUGGCUGGGUCCCUCAGCCAUCACAGCCCCAAACAGCAAGGACAAGAUCUGAAGGCAGCAGGGAGGUGUGGUCUGGGGGGACCCUGGGGCCUCUGGCUGUUGCCUCCAAGGGUGUCUCCAGCUCCUCCCCUUUUAUCUGAGCAUCUGGGUGGCCAGCUAGGGUUUGGUAACUUGGACAAUUCAGGCCCAUGGGAGCAGUGAAGUUCAAAGGCCUGUAAAAGAGAGCAGCAGAAAAAAAAGUGCGUGCUA